GAGAUUAAGUCAGGAGACACAAGAUGAACCUAUUCACCCAGCAAACUGUGAUACUUUGGCUCUGUGUUGCUGUCACGCUCACGACAGAGCUGGUGAAGCUAAGCACUGAUGGCUCUCUGAUUGUGCCAUGUCACCAGAGUGUUAGCCUCCAAUGCAGAAUCUCCACUUUCCAGGAGGGGCUGUCAAUCAAUCAUCUGGCCUGGGUCGGGCAGGACGGGAAGUGCCUGUGUGAUGUUAACGCGACUGGAGUGAUGGGGACCCACCCAGGGAACACACCUAGUGCCAUGGAGUGUAGUUAUACCCCACAGACACAGCUGACCCUGACUCUGCUGCAGGUACAGCCACUGGAGCAGGGAAAUUACUUGUGCAAGCUGCGCUCCAAUCAAGGAGUAAAGGAGGUCACCACAACGGUGAAGCUGCAAGAGUGCUACAGGGAGGCCCAGCCCAGCGUCAGUGAGGAGGGCCCAACCUGCACCUUCACUGAGGUCUACCCUGACGGAGAGGUGCACUGGUUCCAGGGACACAACAAUGUGACUGGGGACCCUAAAAUCAAAACUAAACAAGUGAAGGAAGGAACAUUUUUUACAAUAACUAGUUCCCUGAAUAGAAAGACCAUCUCUGGGGAAGGGGCCUACAACUGCUCCCUGUGGAUCCCCAGUACCGGAGCCUACCUGACCAGCAGCUUGGUACCAGAGCAUGGUGAAGCCAGGGUUGAGGAGCCCAAUGCCAACGGGGCAGGGGCCAUUGGUCCUGUGUGGAAAACCUUUUUAGUCCUCCUGAGUACUCUCUUCCUCGUGUGA
rnacentral:lncRNA from 1 species